rnacentral:rRNA from 1 species
GACGAAUGCUGGCGGCGUGCUUAACACAUGCAAGUCGAACGGUGAAGCCCUUCGGGGUGGAUCAGUGGCGAACGGGUGAGUAACACGUGGGCAAUCUGCCCUGCACUCUGGGACAACUCCGGGAAACCGGGGCUAAUACCGGAUAUGACGUAUUCCCGCAUGGGGGUGCGUGUAAAGCUCCGGCGGUGCAGGAUGAGCCCGCGGCCUAUCAGCUUGUUGGUGGGGUGAUGGCCUACCAAGGCGACGACGGGUAGCCGGCCUGAGAGGGCGACCGGCCACACUGGGACUGAGACACGGCCCAGACUCCUACGGGAGGCAGCAGUGGGGAAUAUUGCACAAUGGGCGCAAGCCUGAUGCAGCGACGCCGCGUGAGGGAUGAAGGCCUUCGGGUUGUAAACCUCUUUCAGCAGGGAAGAAGCGAAAGUGACGGUACCUGCAGAAGAAGCGCCGGCUAACUACGUGCCAGCAGCCGCCGUAACAC